UACGUGAGGGGCGAACGUUGUUCGGUGUCACUGGGCUUAAAGGGUGCGUAGGUGGUUGUGUAAGUAAGGUGUGAAAUCCCUCGGCUUACCCGGGGAAUUGCAUCUUAUACUGCAUGGCUUGAGGUCUAAAGGGGAAAAGGGAACGUCCAGGUGUAGCGGUGAAAUGCGCAGAUAUCUGGGGGAAGGCCGGCGGCGAAGGCGGCAUCCUGGACCGAGACUGACACUGAGGAGCGAAAGCCAGGGAGCAAACGGG
rnacentral:rRNA from 1 species